UGGGAGAGAACCAAAGAUUGUCAAUGGCCCGGAAGUGUUGAGCAAGUUCGUUGGUGAAACUGAAAAGAAUGUGAGAGAUCUUUUUGCUGAUGCUGAGAAUGAUCAAAGGACCCACGGAGACCAAAGUGAGUUGCAUGUCAUAAUCUUCGAUGAAAUUGAUGCUAUUUGUAAGGCAAGGGGAUCAACUAGAGACGGAACUGGAGUUCAUGAUAGUAUUGUCAACCAGUUACUCACGAAGA
rnacentral:misc_RNA from 1 species